rfam:Ananas comosus cultivar MD2 ACMD2_Scaffold_1388, whole genome shotgun sequence.
GAGAUAAGAGCCACUUAGACUAGCCAAGGAGAUCGCCUAUGAGACCACACGCAGCUUUCGAAGUUAACAAAGGCUUCAAAGAGGUCGCAGGCAAGUCAUCCUUGGCUAUCAAAGAUUAGCUCUUAUCA